rnacentral:rRNA from 1 species
UACGGGGGGGGCAAGCGUUGUUCGGAAUUACUGGGCGUAAAGGGCUCGUAGGCGGCCAACUAAGUCGGAUGUGAAAUCCCCAGGCUCAACCUGGGAACUGCAUCCGAUACUGGAUGGCUUGAAUUCGGGAGAGGGAUGCAGAAUUCCAGGUGUAGCGGUGAAAUGCGUAGAUAUCUGGAGGAAUACCGGUGGCGAAGGCGGCAUCCUGGACCGAUACUGACGCUGAGGAGCGAAAGCCAGGGGAGCAAACGGG